GUAAAGAACCAAUGUAAUGUAAAGAAUGAUGAAAAUGACAAUGCUUAAAGUUAAAGUCAUGUGGGAAGUAAAGAAUAUGAAGCGCUAGAGGUAGCGAAAAAUAAAGAAUUGUAAAGAAUGUGUUCGCAUGAGUUUGCAACAAAAAGUGAUGAAAGAACACUAGAGCUAGUGUAAAGUCAAGAUUGAACUUAUAAAUCCUUUGAGUUAAGGAUAUGAUCAUAUUUGCUAUGAGUUCCGUGCUCGAGGGCGGUCGCUCCCCCUCGGGCGAUGCGCUCCGAAGUUAUGCAUCACGGGUUGG
rnacentral:lncRNA from 1 species